AGUGAACGCUGGCGGUAGGCCUAACACAUGCAAGUCGAACGGCAGCACAGUAAGAGCUUGCUCUUACGGGUGGCGAGUGGCGGACGGGUGAGGAAUACAUCGGAAUCUACUUUUUCGUGGGGGAUAACGUAGGGAAACUUACGCUAAUACCGCAUACGACCUACGGGUGAAAGCAGGGGAUCUUCGGACCUUGCGCGAUUGAAUGAGCCGAUGUCGGAUUAGCUAGUUGGCGGGGUAAAGGCCCACCAAGGCGACGAUCCGUAGCUGGUCUGAGAGGAUGAUCAGCCACACUGGAACUGAGACACGGUCCAGACUCCUGCGGGAGGCAGCAGUGGGGAAUAUUGGACAAUGGGCGCAAGCCUGAUCCAGCCAUACCGCGUGGGUGAAGAAGGCCUUCGGGUUGUAAGGCCCUUUUGUUGGGAAAGAAAAGCAGCAGGUUAAUACCCCGCUGUUCUGACGGUACCCAAAGAAUAAGCACCGGCUAACUUCGUG
rnacentral:rRNA from 1 species